UCUCCGUUGGUGAACCAGCGGAGGGAUCAUUACCGAGUUUACAACUCCCAAACCCAAUGUGAACGUUACCAAACUGUUGCCUCGGCGGGAUCUCUGCCCCGGGUGCGUCGCAGCCCCGGACCAAGGCGCCCGCCGGAGGACCAACCAAAACUCUUUUUGUAUACCCCCUCGCGGGUUUUUUUAUAAUCUGAGCCUUCUCGGCGCCUCUCGUAGGCGUUUCGAAAAUGAAUCAAAACUUUCAACAACGGAUCUCUUGGUUCUGGCAUCGAUGAAGAACGCAGCGAAAUGCGAUAAGUAAUGUGAAUUGCAGAAUUCAGUGAAUCAUCGAAUCUUUGAACGCACAUUGCGCCCGCCAGUAUUCUGGCGGGCAUGCCUGUCCGAGCGUCAUUUCAACCCUCGAACCCCUCCGGGGGGUCGGCGUUGGGGAUCGGCCCUGUCUCUUGGCGGUGGCCGUCUCCGAAAUACAGUGGCGGUCUCGCCGCAGCCUCUCCUGCGCAGUAGUUUGCACACUCGCAUCGGGAGCGCGGCGCGUCCACAGCCGUUAAACACCCAACUUCUGAAAUGUUGACCUCGGAUCAGGUAGGAAUACCCGCUGAACUUAA
rnacentral:rRNA from 1 species